ACGCUCGACAGUGUCAGCAGCGCGGUAAUACGUAGGGUGCAAGCGUUAAUCGGAAUUACUGGGCGUAAAGCGUGCGCAGGCGGUUGUGCAAGACCGAUGUGAAAUCCCCGGGCUUAACCUGGGAAUGGCAUUGGUGACUGCACGGCUAGAGUGUGUCAGAGGGGGGUAGAAUUCCACGUGUAGCAGUGAAAUGCGUAGAGAUGUGGAGGAAUACCGAUGGCGAAGGCAGCCCCCUGGGAUAACACUGACGCUCAUGCACGAAAGCGUGGGGAGCAAACAGGAUUAGAUACCCUGGUAGUCCACGCCCUAAACGAUGUCAACUAGUUGUCGGGUCUUAAUUGACUUGGUAACGCAGCUAACGCGUGAAGUUGACCGCCUGGGGAGUACGGUCGCAAGAAUGAAACUUAAAUGAAUUGGCGGG
rnacentral:rRNA from 1 species